rnacentral:rRNA from 1 species
GACGAACCGUGCGAACGUUGUUCGGAAUCACUGGGCUUAAAGGGCGCGUAGGCGGACUGCCAAGUCAGGGGUGAAAGCCCACGGCUCAACCGUGGAAGUGCCUUUGAUACUGGCGGUCUCGAGGGAGGUAGGGGCGUGCGGAACUUCCGGUGGAGCGGUGAAAUGCGUAGAUAUCGGAAGGAACACCGGUGGCGAAAGCGGCGCGCUGGACCUCUUCUGACGCUGAGGCGCGAAAGCCAGGGGAGCAAACGGG